UAGUCAAACACAAGCAAAGGGGAAUUACUUAAAAUUUUGGGAUAGUAUAAUAUCGAAAGAGGAUGUGUUGUGCAAAACAGCGACGGGACAAACAUUAAGUUUAGAAUUUUGAGAUAUUGUAAUAUAGAAAGAGGAAGUGUUUUGCAAAACAGCGACGGGACAAAGGUUUCAGGAUAAGCAUGUCAAAAUCAAGCAAGUCGUCUGAAAAUCCGCCGCAUCGGAUGGAACUUUGACGGUUUGUUUUGACCAAUGGUCAAGGUGCUCUGAAUGGAGUAGUCCUCUAACGGGCGUGGCAUGGAAAACCUGUCCUGACCAGUGCAAGGCUAAAGGCUACGAUGGAGGAAAAUGCGUUGAGGUUGCUGCAAAAUGCCCUUUGUCAAAGACAGCAAUGCAGUGUCAAUGUGAUAAAAAAUAAUUAACGUUGUUUUGAAAGCACAAUUGCCGAUCCACAAUUGUGAAUAUUGGUCUAAGUGAUCAAAUUUUAAUAAUGUACCAUUUCAAAUGCAUAUUGACAGUUUAAAAACAUAAUUACUUGAUGUUAAGAUUGGUUUUAGAAAUCGAAUAGAACUUUUUUAAUAUGCUAUUUCUUUUUUUUAACAAUAAAAACUAAAUUUUA